GGGAAAUCUUACCGGGUCCGGACACACUGAGGAUUGACAGGCAAUCAUGUGAAUUGUUUUUUUUUUUUUUUUUUUUUAAAAARAAAAWAAAAACAUUCACAUAUAAAUAUGCUAGUCCUUUCAUGAUUAUGUGAUAGGUGGUGCAUGGCCGUUCUUAGUUCGUGGAGUGAUCUGUCUGCUUAAUUGCGUUUCAUACUGGACUUAGAAAUCAAGUGUGUUUAUUUUUCUUGUUUGUAAGGACUCGUUUUUGUACGUUUGCGUGACCCCAUUUCUUUUGGGUGUGUUUCGCUUCUGUAUACAUCUCGUGUCCUUUAUAACAUUAUUGAGAGAUAUUUC
rnacentral:rRNA from 1 species